UACGGAGGGGGCUAGCGUUGCUCGGAAUCACUGGGCGUAAAGGGUGCGUAGGCGGGUCUUUAAGUCAGGGGUGAAAUCCUGGAGCUCAACUCCAGAACUGCCUUUGAUACUGAGGAUCUUGAGUUCGGAAGAGGUGGGUGGAAUUCCUAGUGUAGAGGUGAAAUUCGUAGAUAUUAGGAAGAACACCGGUGGCGAAGGCGGCCCACUGGACUGGUAUUGACGCUGAGGUGCGAAAGCGUGGGGAGCAAACAGG
rnacentral:rRNA from 1 species